ACCAGGAUGGCACAGUGUUUUGAGUGUUGGACUACAACUCUGGAGACCAGGGUUCGAUUUCCAGCUCAGCAA